rnacentral:rRNA from 1 species
AUUGAACGCUGGCGGCAGGCCUAACACAUGCAAGUCGAACGAGUGGCGGACGGGUGAGUAAUGUCUGGGAAACUGGCUGAUGGAGUGGGAUAACUAAUGAAAACGGUAGCUAAUACCGCAUACCAUCGGAUGUGCCCAGAUGGGAUGGGCUAGUAGGUGGUGUAAAGGCUCACCUAGGCGACGAUCCCUCGCUGGUCUGAGAGGAUGACCUGCCACACUGGAACUGAGACACGGCCCAGCCUCCUACGGGAGGCAGCAGUGGGGAAUAUUGCACAAUGGGCGCAAGCCUGAGUCACCCAUGCCGCGGUUAUGAAGAAGGCCUUGGGGUUGUAAAGUACUUACAGCGGGUAUGCGUUACCCGCAGAAGAUGCACCGGCGAACUCCGUGCCAGCAGCCGCGAUAAUAC